CAGUGAUUUCAUCCGUGCCUCUGGAGCCACACCCCCCUCAUCUGCUUAAAGCCUCCGAUGCCUUAAAAGACACAGUAGGCUGCUCUUUACUGACCUGAUGUCAAGAAAGUGCGGAUUCACUCACCGGUUAACAUCCAGUGCCAGGACGCCACCGAGCCAGAGAUCUCUUUUAUUCUUUAUGCCAUAUGGGGGACGCUAAGUGAACGGCAAACAACAUAGGUGGGACACUAACUGGGCCACUGGUACAACAAAUCAGUCAUCAGGUGUUUCCAUACUGAACAAAAGCUCUGUUGAGCUGGGGAGGUGGUUUCAUGGUUAAGAGACCUAGUUGCCGUUCCAGACGACCCAGGUUCUGUUCUCAGCACCCAGGUUAGGUGUCUCACAACCACCUAUAUCUCCAGUUUCAAGUCAUCAAUGCCCUCUUCUGGCCUACUCAGGAGAUUAACUGAAGUACCAUGCACACCCCACGCCCCCGUACUUGUGCUCUCUCUCUCUCUCUCUCUCUCUUUCUCACAUAC